UGGCCCCACCACGUAUUCGUGAUGCACACUUUAGUAGUGAUAGGUGUGCGCGAUCUGUCUCCUGGGGAACCGGUGAAAUCAUUCUGAAGAACGCCAAUCUCCCAGAUUACAGGAAAUGGAUAAGUUGGCCUACUUCGUAGCGACAUUCAGAGAGAAACGGAGUUUGAAAAGAAUGUGUAAUGACAGUUGAUUGAAUUGAUCUGACAUUAAACGGAAUCUUUGGUGAAACUUGUCAUAAACGAUGAUUUGCGAAUAAACACUUGAACAUGUCUAUCAAUAAAAAAUACAAGCGGUAUUACACUUGUGUUGUAAAGUGAUCCACCGUUCCUGUGACCACUGUCUGAGACCAGGUGUUUGAACACUAAUUUUGCACUUUAUUUUAUUUUUUUCAUCGUGUUAAACACACGCGUUUCUUUGCAAGUAUAAAUAUAAAUUGUGUUAUCUGAUAAGAAUUCUCAAGAUAUCAUAUACAAACCAAAUAAAAAUCUUUUCUUACUUGCCGCUCAUAAAACGAAAAAAUGCUAAGGAUGAUUAUGCUUUAUCGAAAAGAUAACUCUGGAGAAUACUCUAUUUCAACGAACUAUUCUUUAAUGUAAUGAGGUAUAUAACGCAAUUUUGAUAAUAUAUGUACAUCAGAGCUAAUUUUAAUUUGCAUUUCUCAUAUGAAUUUCAAAU